UUCCGGUUGAUCCUGCCGGAGGCGACCGUUAUUGGAAUUCGAUUAAGCCAUGCGAGUCGAGAGUCUAAAGGACUCGGCGUACCGCUCAGUAACACGUGGGUAACCUGCCCUGUGCUGGGGAAUAACCUCGGGAAACUGAGAAUAAUGCCCCAUAGAACACUACGCCUGGAACGGUGGGUGGAUCAAAGCUCCGGCGGCACAGGAUGGGCCUGCGGCGUAUCAGGUCGUAGGGGGUGUAAUGUACCCUCUAGCCUUCAACGCGUACGGGUUGUGGGAGCAAUCGCCCGGAGAUGGAUUCUGAGACACGAAUCCAGACCCUACGGGGUGCAGCAGGCGCGAAAACUUCACACUGCAGGAAACUGUGAUGAGGGAAUUCCAGGUGGUUAGACAAAGUCUAGCCUCUGACCAACUUUUAAUCGGUUGGUGUAGAAGGGGUGGGAAAGACCGGUGCCAGCCGCCGCGGUAAUACCGGCACCUCAAGUGGUCGUCGCUUUUAUUGGGCCUAAAACGUCCGUCGCCUGUUUGGUACAUUCGUGGGUAAAUCAAGCCGCUUAACGGCUUGAAUUCUGCGAGGACGGCCAGACUAGGGACCGGGAGAGGUAUGGGGUACUCUCAGGGUAGGGGUAAAAUCCAGUCAUCCUGAGGGGACCACCUGUUGCGAAGGCGCCAUACUAGAACGGAUCCGACGGUCAGGGACGAAGCCUAGGGGCACGAACCGGAUUAGAUACCCGGGUAGUCCUAGGUGUAAACGCUGUGGACUUGGUGUUGGGGACUCUACGAGUGUCCCCAGUGCCGGAGUGAAGAUGUUAAGUCCNCUGCCUGGGGAGUACGGUCGCAAGGCUGAAACUUAAAGGAAUUGGCGGGGGAGCACAGCAACGAGAGGAGCGUGCGGUUUAAUUGGAUUCAACGCCGGG
rnacentral:rRNA from 1 species